UACGUAGGUGGCAAGCGUUGUCCGGAUUUACUGGGCGUAAAGCGCGCGCAGGCGGUUCGGUACGUCCGGCGUGAAAGCUCCCGGCUCAACUGGGAGAGGGCGUUGGAUACGGCCGGACUGGAGGGCGGUAGAGGUCGGUGGAAUUCCCGGUGUAGUGGUGAAAUGCGUAGAGAUCGGGAGGAAUACCUGUGGCGAAGGCGGCCUACUGGGCCGGACCUGACGCUGAGACGCGAAGGCGUGGGGAGCGAACGGG
rnacentral:rRNA from 1 species